rnacentral:misc_RNA from 1 species
GUGAAUCAUCGAAUCUUUGAACGCAAAUUGCACUCCCUGGUAUUCCGGGGAGUAUGCCUGUUUGAGGGUCGUUAGAAUAAAAAAUCGAGGCGUCGCCUUUUUUUUGAGGGGUGAUGGCGUCGAAUUGAGGUCUUCUUUAAAUGUUAAUUCAUGUCAAAGUGGCUUAAAAUUUCAUCAAUCCGUUACAAUUAAGGCUUAUUUAAGACCAAUCUUAAUUAA